UACGUAGGGUGCAAGCGUUGUCCGGAAUUAUUGGGCGUAAAGAGCUCGUAGGCGGUCUGUCGCGUCGGCUGUGAAAACCCGAGGCUCAACCUCGGGCCUGCAGUCGAUACGGGCAAACUAGAGUACUGCAGGGGAGACUGGAAUUCCUGGUGUAGCGGUGAAAUGCGCAGAUAUCAGGAGGAACACCGGUGGCGAAGGCGGGUCUCUGGGCCGAUACUGACGCUGGAGGAGCGAAAAGCUAGGGGAGCAAACAGG
rnacentral:rRNA from 1 species